GGAUUAGAUACCCUGGUAGUCCACGCCGUAAACGAUGUCUACUAGUUGUCGGGACUCUUGCAGUCUUGGUAACGCAGCUAACGCGAUAAGUAGACCGCCUGGGGAGUACGGUCGCAAGAUUAAAACUCAAAUGAAUUGACGGGGGCCCGCACAAGCGGUGGAGCAUGUGGUUUAAUUCGACGCAACGCGAAGAACCUUACCUGGUCUUGACAUCCUCAGAACUUUCCAGAGAUGGAUUGGUGCCUUCGGGAACUGAGUGACAGGUGCUGCAUGGCUGUCGUCAGCUCGUGCCG
rnacentral:rRNA from 1 species